rnacentral:rRNA from 1 species
AUUGAACGCUGGCGGCAUGCCUUACACAAGCAAGUCGAACGGUAACAGGUCUUCGGAUGCUGACGAGUGGCGAACGGGUGAGUAAUACAUCGGAACGUGCCCGAGAGUGGGGGAUAACGAGGCGAAAGCUUUGCUAAUACCGCAUACGAUCUCAGGAUGAAAGCAGGGGACCGCAAGGCCUUGCGCUCACGGAGCGGCCGAUGGCAGAUUAGGAAGUUGGUGGGAUAAAAGCUUACCAAGCCGACGAUCUGUAGCUGGUCUGAGAGGACGACCAGCCACACUGGGACUGAGACACGGCCCAGACUCCUACGGGAGGCAGAAGUGGGGAAUUUUGGACAAUGGGCGCAAGCCUGAUCCAGCCAUGCCGCGUGCAGGAUGAAGGCCUUCGGGUUGUAAACUGCUUUUGUACGGAACGAAAAGACUCCUUCUAAUAAAGGGGGUCCAUGACGGUACCGUAAGAAUAAGCACCGGCUAACUACGUGCCAGCAGCCGCCGUAA